GAUGAACGCUGGCGGCGUGCUUAACACAUGCAAGUCGAACGGACAGGCCCUGCUUUUGUUGGUUGCUCGAUUGGGGAACGGGUGAGUAACACGUGAGUAACCUGCCCUUGACUUUGGGAUAACUUCAGGGAACUGGGGCUAAUACCGGAUAGGAGCUCCUGCUGCAUGGUGUGGGAUGGAAAGAUUCGGCGGUUGGGGAUGGACUAGCGGCUUAUCAGCUUGUUUGUGGGGUUGUGGCUUACCAAGGCUUUGACGGGUAGCCGGCCUGGGAGGGGGACCGGCCACAAGGGGACUGAGAUACGGAGCAGAAUCCUACGGGAGGCAGCAGGGGGGAAUAUUGCACAAUGGGCGGAAGCCUGAUGCAGAAACGCCGCGUGCGGGAUGACGGCCUUCGGGUUGUAAACCGCUUUCGCCUGUGACGAAGAGGGAGUGACGGUAAUGGGUAAAGAAGCACCGGCUAACUACGUG
rnacentral:rRNA from 1 species